CUGCCCUGGGCACCCUGGAGUUCACGCUUCUCUUCGAUGCGGACAGCAGCGCCCUGCACUGCACAGCUCACCGUGCCAAGGGCCUCAAGCUGAUGGCCUCGGGCUCUGUGAACACCUAUGUCAAGGCCAACCUGCUACCAGGGGCCAGCAAGGCCAGCCAGCUUCGGACACGUACCGUUUGGGGCACACGGGGACCGGUCUGGGAGGAGACACUCACCUAUCAGGGCUUCACCCGCCAGGACGCGGCACGCAAGACCCUGCGGCUGUGCGUGUGCGAGGACCCACGGCUGCGGUGACGGCGGCGGGCACCCCCCCUGGGGGAGCUGCGGGUGCCUCUGAGGAAGCUGGUGCCCAGCCGAGCCCGGAGCUUUGAUGUCUGUCUGGAGAAGUGGAGGCUGACCAAGAGGCCCAAGAGUCUGGACACGGCCCGCGGCAUGUCCCUGUAUGAGAAGGUGG